AAUAUAAAUUUAAUAAUAAAUGUGGAUGCUACAUCACAUGUGUGUCAGAAGGUGGCAGAGAGAAAAAUGAGUGGCUAUGUCUAUGCCCUGUGUUCUGACCUGUGAACAUCUGAAUGAUUAGCAGCCUCACAGU